rnacentral:lncRNA from 1 species
CAGAUAGCACUAUCUUCUCUCUCCUAAAAAACUUUUCCGAAAAGUCUCAGAUCCGUUUCUUUGUGGCAUUGUUCUUCAUCCCCACAAGGUACUUGGUGUAACAGAGGCAGCUAAAUCUCCUCCCUGUUAGCAUGGGUGAGGUUUUUUGUCCUUCAUUGGCAUAGAUCUAGUCUCGGUGUGGCGGUAAGAGAGCGAUGCUACAGACUCCGGUUUGAGGGCGUCGGUAGGUGUAGCUGGCCGUCUCUCGUGGCUCGCCCGUUGUGUCGGAGAUCAAUCUACGGCAGGAGCCAAAGGAGGAGACGGUGGGUGGCUGAAGCGCCUUGGAGAUUAACGGCGGAUCUUUUGGAUCUUGUCGGCCAUCGCGGAUUUUGUGCGUUUAGGCUUCUGAUUGAGCCGUCGGCCCUAUUCGCCAUCGUGACUUGCUUUCUUUGGGUCGGUUCGAGGAGAUUUGGUGAAACGAAUUGGAGACUUGCCGGUUCAAGAGAGACGAGGUAAUGUCCGAAGUUGGCUGCUUGCUUGGUCUGGGAGUUGUCAACAACGUGCUGGGUAGUCGGAAGUUGGUCAUCUCGGGAGGCUUGUGGCGGGUUGAUAGGUCGAGGGAGAAGAAACGGUGACGGGAUUGGAUGCUUCCUUCCCGCUUUCUAGUUCCCUUGGUGUUUUGCAAAGCUGUGGACCUCGCAUUCACCGGUGCUAAUGGUCCUGACUUUCUGCUCGCGGUGUCAAUACGACACGAGUCGCUUUUCCGACGCCGGUGGUCUAGGUUUCCGAGUUUCUUCUGUUUUUGUACCCUUGUAUUUUGUGGCCCGGCCCAUUUGGGAAUUUUUUUUUAAUAAAAUGGCCCGUUUUGAAAAAAAAAAAUUCCUAAAAUCUAAAUCUCUAUCUCCAAUAUAUGUAUAUAAUUUUAUUUGUUUUAAUUUAUAUUAUUACAUAAAUUAUAUUUAUAAUAAAAAUAAAAAUUGUACCGCGGG